AACGAACGCUGGCGGCAGGCUUAACACAUGCAAGUCGAACGCCCCGCAAGGGGAGUGGCAGACGGGUGAGUAACGCGUGGGAAUCUACCCAGAUCUACGGAACAACAGUUGGAAACGACUGCUAAUACCGUAUACGCCCUACGGGGGAAAGAUUUAUCGGAUUUGGAUGAGCCCGCGUUGGAUUAGCUAGUUGAUGGGGUAAUGGCCUACCAAGGCGACGAUCCAUAGCAGGUCUUAGAGGAUGAUCAGCCACACUGGGACUGAGACACGGCCCAGACUCCUACGGGAGGCAGCAGUGGGGAAUAUUGGACAAUGGGCGCAAGCCUGAUCCAGCCAUGCCGCGUGAGUGAUGAAGGCCUUAGGGUUGUAAAGCUCUUUCACCGAUGAAGAUAAUGACGGUAGUCGGAGAAGAAGCCCCGGCUAACUUCGUGCCAGCAGCCGCGGUAACAC
rnacentral:rRNA from 1 species